ACGGGAGGCAGCAGUGGGGAAUAUUGCGCAAUGGGGGAAACCCUGACGCAGCAACGCCGCGUGGGUGAAGAAGGCCUUCGGGUUGUAAAGCCCUGUCAGUUGGGAAGAAAACAUGGAGUAACCCUCCAUGUCUGACGGUACCUUCAAAGGAAGCACCGGCUAACUCCGUGCCAGCAGCCGCGGUAAUACGGAGGGUGCAAGCGUUGUUCGGAAUUACUGGGCGUAAAGCGCGUGUAGGCGGUUUGGUCAGUCUGAUGUGAAAGCCCGGGGCUCAACCCUGGAAGUGCAUUGGAUACUGCCUGACUUGAGUACUGGAGGGGAAA
rnacentral:rRNA from 1 species